rnacentral:rRNA from 1 species
AGUGAACGCUGGCGGCAUACUUAACACAUGCAAGUCGCGCGCCUCGCAAGGGGAGCGGCGGACGGGUGAGUAACGCGUAGGAACGUGUCCAGAGGUGGGGGACAACCCCGGGAAACUGGGGCUAAUACCGCAUAUGACCUGAGGGACAAAGCCGUGAGGCGCCUUUGGAGCGGCCUGCGUCCGAUUAGGUAGUUGGUGGGGUAAUGGCCUACCAAGCCUGCGAUCGGUAGCUGGUCUGAGAGGAUGAUCAGCCACACUGGGACUGAGACACGGCCCAGACUCCUACGGGAGGCAGCAGUGGAGAAUAUUGGACAAUGGGCGCAAGCCUGAUCCAGCAAUGCCGCGUGGGUGAAGAAGGUCUUCGGAUCGUAAAGCCCUUUCGACAGGGACGAUGAUGACGGUACCUGUAGAAGAAGCCCCGGCUAACUUCGUGCCAGCCGCCGCAGUAAAAC